rnacentral:tRNA from 11 species
AAGUUUUUUUUUCUGACUGGAUUGGGGAAUAAGUGGAGCAGUGGAUCUCCACUUUGAUACAUUAGAUAUAAGUGAGAUUCAACUACUCCAACUUCUUCCCCCCAGAUCAUUUUCUUCUUUGAUCCG